AAUAGAUACCCCGGUAGUCCACGCCGUAAACGAUGAGUGCUAAGUGUUAGAGGGUUUCCGCCCUUUAGUGCUGCAGCUAACGCAUUAAGCACUCCGCCUGGGGAGUACGGCCGCAAGGCUGAAACUCAAAGGAAUUGACGGGGGCCCGCACAAGCGGUGGAGCAUGUGGUUUAAUUCGAAGCAACGCGAAGAACCUUACCAGGUCUUGACAUCCUCUGACAACCCUAGAGAUAGGGCUUUCCCCUUCGGGGGACAGAGUGACAGGUGGUGCAUGGUUGUCGUCAGCUCGUGUCGUGAGAUGUUGGGUUAAGUCCCGCAACGAGCGCAACCCUUGAUCUUAGUUGCCAGCAUUCAGUUGGGCACUCUAAGGUGACUGCCGGUGACAAACCGGAGGAAGGUGGGGAUGACGUCAAAUCAUCAUGCCCCUUAUGACCUGGGCUACACACGUGCUACAAUGGAUGGUACAAAGGGCUGCAAACCUGCGAAGGUAAGCGAAUCCCAUAAAAGCCAUUCUCAGUUCGGAUUGCAGG
rnacentral:rRNA from 1 species